UUAUAGAAUUAACUUACUUUUAUCUACUUUUACUUACUUCUACCUAUUUUUAUAUUUAAUUAUUAGCUUACAUGAUUAUGGCCGUCACAACAGCUUAGAUUUGUCAACACCAGUCUAGUAUAGUAGCUUUGUUGCCUUUCUUUCAAUUAACUCACAUUUCUCUAGAAUUUGUAUCCCUCCUAUCUUCUUAUUGGCAAUCUUCUCUACUCAUCUACAUCUACUUCU
rnacentral:lncRNA from 1 species